rnacentral:tRNA from 1 species
UUUUAAUAGCUUAUUUAGAGCGUGAUAUUGAAGAUAUCAAAGAGGCUUUUUGUCUUAAAAUAU